GGGCAGAGCGAAACCGGAAGGUUUACUGAGCUGUGGCUUCACGUGAAACGCUGAGCAUCCACUCCACGGCGAUGAACCCUGACCUCAAAUAUGAAAACAUCUCAGCUCAGUCAGCAGAGCAGGAUGAUCAUCACUACAGCAGACUGCACUUCAGUGACAACCACACAGCUGACCUCUACUCCACCAUCGAGCCACUGCCUGCUCACUAAAGAAGUGUUUGUUACCAUGGUGAUUUAAAGGGACCGUUUCCCCUUAAGGUUUUAGUAUCAUAGCAGAGACACCAAAGCUGCUACAUCAGUCAGUGUUUGUACUCUCUGUACUGGAUCAUAAAAAACAGAAAGGAAUAACAGAAAUAUAGAAAUGCCUGAGCUUUUCCAUUCAAACAUAUCUGAUAAUGAAAUGCAUGUGUUACAAAUGUCAGAAAUGAAAACAUCAAAGCUAUCAUGUCUGCAGG
ensembl:lncRNA